UACGUAGGUGGCAAGCGUUGUUCGGAAUUAUUGGGCGUAAAGGGCGCGUAGGCGGCUUGGCAAGUGGAUGGUGAAAUCCCUCGGCUUAACCGAGGAACUGCCGUCCAAACUGCUUCGCUUGAGACCAGGAGAGGUGAGUGGAAUUCCCAGUGUAGCGGUGAAAUGCGUAGAUAUUGGGAGGAACACCAGUGGCGAAGGCGGCUCACUGGACUGGUACUGACGCUGAUGCGCGAAAGCGUGGGGAGCAAACGGG
rnacentral:rRNA from 1 species